AGUCGAGCGGCAGCACAGAGGAACUUGUUCCUUGGGUGGCGAGCGGCGGACGGGUGAGUAAUGCCUAGGAAAUUGCCCUGAUGUGGGGGAUAACCAUUGGAAACGAUGGCUAAUACCGCAUGAUGCCUACGGGCCAAAGAGGGGGACCUUCGGGCCUCUCGCGUCAGGAUAUGCCUAGGUGGGAUUAGCUAGUUGGUGAGGUAAUGGCUCACCAAGGCGACGAUCCCUAGCUGGUCUGAGAGGAUGAUCAGCCACACUGGAACUGAGACACGGUCCAGACUCCUACGGGAGGCAGCAGUGGGGAAUAUUGCACAAUGGGCGCAAGCCUGAUGCAGCCAUGCCGCGUGUAUGAAGAAGGCCUUCGGGUUGUAAAGUACUUUCAGUCGUGAGGAAGGUGGUGUUGUUAAUAGCAGCAUCAUUUGACGUUAGCGACAGAAGAAGCACCGGCUAACUCCGU
rnacentral:rRNA from 1 species